CAAUUUCCUCGUUUAUUGCGCCCCCUAAUGGCGAAUUUUUCCGAAUUUUUUAUCGAACGACAUUAAGGUUAGCAUCAACAUGUGUGUAAAAUUUGGACUCGAUCCGAUGUCUCAUUUUGGAUUUCUUUGGAUUUUUGCUAUUCCACGUCUAAUUUAGCUAAUAAACCAAUAUUCCAAAUGCUACCGUUUCGUCGUCGAAAGUCGGAUCAAAAAACUGUCUGAGGGUUUCUUUGCGUGUGCGUCUGAAGAUGCCGUGUGCAAAGUUUGGUGUUGAUUGGUCGAGAAAUGUGGGAGGAGUAGCGAAAAAACAGUUUUGCGGUUUUCGCGAUUUUGCGAAAAAAAAUUCUAGACGCAAAUGGGCGUGGCCUAUGCCAAAAGAUGCAGCAGACUCCAGUGAAUCUGUGUGUACAAGGUUUUGAAUGUGGGAGGAUCGGUGUGGGAGUUAUAGCCCCAAACGCGUAUUCCUUGGUAUAGCGCCACCUAGUGACCGGCGUGUCUGGAUUUUGUCGUCU
ensembl:lncRNA